GAUGAACGCUGGCGGCGUGCCUAAUACAUGCAAGUCGAGCGAACGGACGAGAAGCUUGCUUCUCUGACGUUAGCGGCGGACGGGUGAGUAACACGUGGAUAACCUACCUAUAAGACUGGGAUAACUUCGGGAAACCGGAGCUAAUACCGGAUAAUAUUUUGAACCGCAUGGUUCAAAAGUGAAAGACGGUCUUGCUGUCACUUAUAGAUGGAUCCGCGCUGCAUUAGCUAGUUGGUAAGGUAACGGCUUACCAAGGCAACGAUGCAUAGCCGACCUGAGAGGGUGAUCGGCCACACUGGAACUGAGACACGGUCCAGACUCCUACGGGAGGCAGCAGUAGGGAAUCUUCCGCAAUGGGCGAAAGCCUGACGGAGCAACGCCGCGUGAGUGAUGAAGGUCUUCGGAUCGUAAAACUCUGUUAUUAGGGAAGAACAUAUGUGUAAGUAACUGUGCACAUCUUGACGGUACCUAAUCAGAAAGCCACGGCUAACUACGUGCCAGCAGCCGCGGUAAUACGUAGGUGGCAAGCGUUAUCCGGAAUUAUUGGGCGUAAAGCGCGCGUAGGCGGUUUUUUAAGUCUGAUGUGAAAGCCCACGGCUCAACCGUGGAGGGUCAUUGGAAACUGGAAAACUUGAGUGCAGAAGAGGAAAGUGGAAUUCCAUGUGUAGCGGUGAAAUGCGCAGAGAUAUGGAGGAACACCAGUGGCGAAGGCGACUUUCUGGUCUGUAACUGACGCUGAUGUGCGAAAGCGUGGGGAUCAAACAGGAUUAGAUACCCUGGUAGUCCACGCCGUAAACGAUGAGUGCUAAGUGUUAGGGGGUUUCCGCCCCUUAGUGCUGCAGCUAACGCAUUAAGCACUCCGCCUGGGGAGUACGACCGCAAGGUUGAAACUCAAAGGAAUUGACGGGGACCCGCACAAGCGGUGGAGCAUGUGGUUUAAUUCGAAGCAACGCGAAGAACCUUACCAAAUCUUGACAUCCUUUGACAACUCUAGAGAUAGAGCUUUCCCCUUCGGGGGACAAAGUGACAGGUGGUGCAUGGUUGUCGUCAGCUCGUGUCGUGAGAUGUUGGGUUAAGUCCCGCAACGAGCGCAACCCUUAAGCUUAGUUGCCAUCAUUAAGUUGGGCACUCUAAGUUGACUGCCGGUGACAAACCGGAGGAAGGUGGGGAUGACGUCAAAUCAUCAUGCCCCUUAUGAUUUGGGCUACACACGUGCUACAAUGGACAAUACAAAGGGCAGCGAAACCGCGAGGUCAAGCAAAUCCCAUAAAGUUGUUCUCAGUUCGGAUUGUAGUCUGCAACUCGACUACAUGAAGCUGGAAUCGCUAGUAAUCGUAGAUCAGCAUGCUACGGUGAAUACGUUCCCGGGUCU
rnacentral:rRNA from 1 species